AAGGCGGGGAAUAGCCCAGAGAAAUUUGGAUUAAUACCCAUAAUAUAUUUGAUAAGGCAUCUUAUUAAUAUUAAAGCUUCGGCACUUGAUGAUGGGUGUGCGGCUGAUUAGAUAGUUGGCGGGGUAACGGCCACCAAGUCUACGAUCAGUAGCUGAUGUGAGAGCAUGAUCAGCCACACGGGCACUGAGACACGGGCCCGACUCCUACGGGAGGCAGCAGUAAGGAAUAUUGGACAAUGGACGAAAGUCUGAUCCAGCCAUGCCGCGUGAAGGAUUAAGGUCCUCUGGAUUGUAAACUUCUUUUAUAUGGGACGAAAAAGGGCAUUCUUGCUCACUUGACGGUACCAUAUGAAUAAGCACCGGCUAACUCCGUG
rnacentral:rRNA from 1 species